AGAGUGGCGAACGGGUGAGUAACACGUGGGUAACCUGCCCAUCAGAAGGGGAUAACACUUGGAAACAGGUGCUAAUACCGUAUAACAAUCGAAACCGCAUGGUUUUGAUUUGAAAGGCGCUUUCGGGUGUCGCUGAUGGAUGGACCCGCGGUGCAUUANCUAGUUGGUGAGGUAACGGCUCACCAAGGCCACNAUGCAUAGCCGACCUGAGAGGGUGAUCGGCCACAUUGGGACUGAGACACGGCCCAAACUCCUACGGGAGGCAGCA
rnacentral:rRNA from 1 species